rnacentral:rRNA from 1 species
AGUACGAUCGCAAGAUUAAAACUCAAAGGAAUUGACGGGGCCCCGCACAAGCAGCGGAGCAUGCGGCUUAAUUCGACGCAACGCGAAGAACCUUACCAAGGCUUGACAUAUACAGGAAUAUGGCAGAGAUGUCAUAGCCGCAAGGUCUGUAUACAGGUGGUGCAUGGUUGUCGUCAGCUCGUGUCGUGAGAUGUUGGGUUAAGUCCCGCAACGAGCGCAACCCUCGUUCUGUGUUGCCAGCAUUUAGUUGGGGACUCACAGGAGACUGCCGGGGUUAACUCGGAGGAAGGUGGGGAUGACGUCAAAUCAUCAUGCCCCUUAUGUCUUGGGCUGCACGCAUGCUACAAUGGCUGGUACAAACGGCUGCGAUACCGCAAGGUGGAGCGAAUCCGAGAAAGCCAGUCUCAGUUCGGAUUGGGGUCUGCAACUCGACCCCAUGAAGUCGGAGUUGCUAGUAAUCGUAGAUCAGCAACGCUACGGUGAAUACGUUCCCGGGGCUUGUACACACCGCCCGUCACAUCACGAAAGUCGGUAACACCCAAAGUCAGUGGCCCAACCGCAAGGAGGGAGCUGCCAAAGGUGGGAUCGGUGAUUGGGAUG